AUUGAACGCUGGCGGCAUGCCUUACACAUGCAAGUCGAACGGCAGCACGGGGGCGAACCCUCGGUGGCGAGUGGCGAACGGGUGAGUAAUACAUCGGAACGUGCCCCGUACGCGGGGGACGAACCAGUCGAAAGACUGGCUAAUACCGCAUACGCUCCACGGGGGAAAGGACAGGGGAGUCGCAAGACCUUGCACUAUGGGAGCGGCCGAUGCCCGAUUAGCUAGUUGGUGAGGAAA
rnacentral:rRNA from 1 species